UUUCCAACGUUUCCGUCCUCUCUGGGACCUUUUUCAAGGAUAAAUGACAUGUGUACAGGUGUCGCUGUUGUGCCAGCUGAAGUUGUGCUCAGAUAAAGUGAAACAAAAGUGUCCAAUAUAUGUGUCCAUUCCAGGAAAGUCCAUGUUAUCUGCAAAUUUAUACAAAUGUAUCAUUCUGUUGUUACAAUGACUGGCAAGAGAUACCAAUAAAAAUAAUAGCAUGUUUU